rnacentral:SRP_RNA from 1 species
CCGGCGCACACGCCGGCGGCUGUCCGGCGGGCCCCCUCGCAUCGCGGUGCUGUGAACCUGGUCAGGUCGGGAACGAAGCAGCCAUAGCGGAUUGCCUCGAGUGCCGAGGAUCGGGCUCGCCUUUUUGCCGGGUUUGCGUCG